GCAUAUCAAUAAGCGGAGGAAAAGAAACCAACAGGGAUUGCCCUAGUAACGGCGAGUGAAGCGGCAACAGCUCAAAUUUGAAAGCUGGCUUAGGCCCGCAUUGUAAUUUGCAGAGGAUGCUUCUGGCGAGGUGCCUUCCGAGUUCCCUGGAACGGGACGCCAUAGAGGGUGAGAGCCCCGUAUGGAUGGACACCAGACCUGUGUGAAGCUCCUUCAACGAGUCGAGUAGUUUGGGAAUGCUGCUCUAAAUGGGAGGUAAAUCUCUUCUAAAGCUAAAUACCGGCCAGAGACCGAUAGCGCACAAGUAGAGUGAUCGAAAGAUGAAAAGCACCUUGAAAAGGGGGUUAAACAGUACGUGAAAUUGUUGAAAGGGAAGCGCUUGUGACCAGACUUGCGCCGGGCAGCUCAUCAGGGGUUCUCCCCUGUGCACUCUGCCCGGCUCAGGCCAGCAUCGGUUCUCGUGGGAGGAUAAGAACGGUAGGAACGUGGCCCCCCUCCGGGGGGGUGUUAUAGCCUGCCGUACGAUACUCCCGUGGGGACCGAGGUUCGCGCUCCGCAAGGAUGCUGGCGUAAUGGUCAUCAGCGACCCGUCUUGAAACACGGACCAAGGAGUCGUCCAUUAGAGCGAGCGUUUGGGUGUAAAACCCGCACGCGUAAUGAAAGUGAACGCAGGUGAGAGCUUCGGCGCAUCAUCGACCGAUCCUGAUGUCUUCGGAUGGAUUUGAGUAAGAGUUUUAACGGACGGACCCGAAAGACAGUGAACUAUGCUUGUAUAGGGUGAAGCCAGAGGAAACUCUGGU
rnacentral:rRNA from 1 species